rnacentral:rRNA from 1 species
UACGUAGGGGCCUAGCGUUGUCCGGAUUUAUUGGGCGUAAAGAGCUCGUAGGCGGUUCGGUAAGUCAGGUGUGAAAUCUCCACGCUCAACGUGGAGGCGCCACCUGAAACUGCCGUGACUCGAGUCCGGUAGGGGAGUGUGGAAUUCCCGGUGUAGCGGUGAAAUGCGCAGAUAUCGGGAGGAACACCAGUGGCGAAGGCGGCAUCCUGGACCAAUACUGACACUGAGGAGCGAAAGCCAGGGGAGCAAACGGG